AAUGGGGCCUACUCUGGGAUGAGCCCGCCUAUCAGCUUGUUGGUGGGGUAAUGGCCUACCAAGGCGACGACGGGUAGCCGGCCUGAGAGGCCGACCGGCCACACUGGGACUGAGACACGGCCCAGACUCCUACGGGAGGCAGCAGUGGGGAAUAUUGCACAAUGGGCGAAAGCCUGAUGCAGCGACGCCGCGUGAGGGAUGACGGCCUUCGGGUUGUAAACCUCUUUCAGCAGGGAAGAAGCGAAAGUGACGGUACCUCAGAGAGGCCGAUCC
rnacentral:rRNA from 1 species